AUUGAACGCUGGCGGUAUGCUUAACACAUGCAAGUCGAACGGUAACAGGCCUUCGGGCGCUGACGAGUGGCGGACGGGUGAGUAACGCGUAGGAAUCUGCCUCAUAGUGGGGGACAACGUGUGGAAACGCACGCUAAUACCGCAUACGCCCUACGGGGGAAAGCGGGGGACCUUCGGGCCUCGCGCUAUGAGAUGAGCCUGCGUUUGAUUAGCUAGUUGGUAGGGUAAAGGCCUACCAAGGCGACGAUCUAUAGCUGGUCUGAGAGGACGAUCAGCCACACUGGGACUGAGACACGUCCCAGACUCCUACGGGAGGCAGCAGUGGGGAAUAUUGGACAAUGGGCGCAAGCCUGAUCCAGCAAUACCGCGUGUGUGAAGAAGGCCCUAGGGUUGUAAAGCACUUUCAAUAGGGAGGAAAACCUGUCGGUCAAUACCCGGCAGCUUGACAUUACCUAUACAAGAAGCACCGGCUAACUCCGUGCCAGCCGCCGCAGUAAGAC
rnacentral:rRNA from 1 species